UAGGGAAUAUUAGUAAUGGGCGAAAGCCUGAACUAGCAACGCCGCGUGUGCGAAGAAGGCCUUCGGGUUGUAAAGCACUUUUUGAGAGGAUGAGGAAGGACGGUACUCUCAGAAUAGUCCCGGCCAACUACGUGCCAGCAGCCGCGGUAACACGUAGGAGGCAAACGUUUUCCGGAUUUACUGGGCGUAAAGCGCGGGUAGGUGGUUUGGUAAGUAGGGCGUGAAAGCUCCUGGCUCAACUGGGAGAGGCCGUUCUAAACUGCCGAACUAGAGGAUGGUAGAGGGAGGUGGAAUUCCGGGUGUAGCGGUGGAAUGCGCAGAUAUCCGGAGGAACACCAGUGGCGAAAGCGGCCUCCUGGACCAUUCCUGACACUCAGACGCGAAAGCUAGGGUAGCAAACGG
rnacentral:rRNA from 1 species